GUAUUGCUGACGAGAUCCAAGCAAUAGGACGAAACAGCUGUUCAGUAC
rnacentral:hammerhead_ribozyme from 1 species